rnacentral:rRNA from 1 species
UACGUAGGGUGCAAGCGUUAAUCGGAAUUACUGGGCGUAAAGCGUGCGCAGGCGGUUAUGCAAGACAGAGGUGAAAUCCCCGGGCUCAACCUGGGAACUGCCUUUGUGACUGCAUGGCUAGAGUACGGUAGAGGGGGAUGGAAUUCCGCGUGUAGCAGUGAAAUGCGUAGAUAUGCGGAGGAACACCGAUGGCGAAGGCAAUCCCCUGGACCUGUACUGACGCUCAUGCACGAAAGCGUGGGGAGCAAAC